rnacentral:rRNA from 1 species
CCUACGGGUGGCAGCAGUGAGGAAUAUUGGUCAAUGGGCGCGAGCCUGAACCAGCCAAGUAGCGUGAAGGAUGACUGCCCUACGGGUUGUAAACUUCUUUUAUAAAGGAAUAAAGUGAGGCACGUGUGCCUUUUUGUAUGUACUUUAUGAAUAAGGAUCGGCUAACUCCGUGCCAGCAGCCGCGGUAAUACGGAGGAUCCGAGCGUUAUCCGGAUUUAUUGGGUUUAAAGGGAGCGUAGAUGGGUUGUUAAGUCAGUUGUGAAAGUUUGCGGCUCAACCGUAAAAUUGCAAUUGAUACUGGCAGUCUUGAGUAGAGUUGAGGGAGGCGGAAUUCGAGGUGUAGCGGUGAAAUGCUUAGAGACAACGAAGAACUCCGAGUGAGAAGGAAGCUUAAUAAACUGCCACUGACAUUGAUGCUCGAAAGUGGGGGUAGCAAACAGGAUUAGAUACCCGAGUAGUC